rnacentral:tRNA from 1 species
GGUGGACUUCUGGAUCGCGUAGCAGCGUUUGCGUCGGUAUCUGGGCUUGUAGCUCAGUUGGUUAGAGCACACGCUUGAUAAGCGUGGGGUCGGAGGUUCAAGUCCUCCCAGGCCCACCAUGUUACAUGAUAAGGGGCCGUAGUUCAGUUGGGAGAGCACCUGCUUUGCAAGCAGGGGGUCGUCGGUUCGAUCCCGUCCGGCUCCACCAUCGUGUUUUGGUGUAGAGACGGAUAUUGGCAAUCAACGAAAGAAAGAAACAAGUUUGCGGACUUUUAUGAAAGUCUGCCUGUUCUGUAUGAAAUCGUGAAGAGAAGAUGUAAUCGGAUCAACUAUCCAGUUGAUGUCGCAAGAGCUUGCUCAAGCCUUGCAUUAUGAUUG